rnacentral:rRNA from 1 species
GUAGCUGGGUUGUUAAGUCUCUUGGGAAAUCUGGCGGCUUAACCGUCAGGCGUCUAAGGGAUACUGGCAAUCUUGGAACCGGGAGAGGUGAGGGGUACUUCGGGGGUAGGAGUGAAAUCCUGUAAUCCUCGAGGGACCACCUGUGGCGAAGGCGCCUCACCAGAACGGCUUCGACAGUGAGGGACGAAAGCUGGGGGAGCAAACCGGAUUAGAUACCCGGGUAGUCCCAGCCGUAAACUAUGCGCGUUAGGUGUAUCGGUGACCACGAGUUACCGAGGUGCCGAAGGGAAACCGUGAAACGUGCCGCCUGGGAAGUACGGUCGCAAGGCUGAAACUUAAAGGAAUUGGCGGGGGAGCACCACAACAGGUGGAGCCUGCGGUUUAAUUGGACUCAACGCCGGGAAGCUCACCGGAUAGGACAGCAGAAUGAUUGCCGGGCUGAAGACCCUGCAUGACUAGCUGAGAGGAGGUGCAUGGCCGUCGUCAGUUCGUACUGUGAAGCAUCCUGUUAAGUCAGGCAACGAGCAAGACCCACGCCAACAGUUGCCAGCAUGGUCUCCGGACUGAUGGGGACACUGUUGGGACCGCCUCUGCUAAAGAGGAGGAAGGAAUGGGCAACGGUAGGUCAGCAUGCCCCGAAUUAUCCGGGCUACACGCGGGCUACAAUGGGCAGGACAAUGGGCAUCGACACCGUGAGGUGGAGGCAAUCUCCUAAACCUGUCCUUAGUUCGGAUUGUGGGCUGAAACUCGCCCACAUGAAGCUGGAAUCUGUAGUAAUCGCGUUUCAAAAUAACGCGGUGAAUUUGUCCCUGCUCCUUGCACUCACCGCCCGUAA